UUUCUAUUAAAAUAUUAACAUUUUAAUUUGUUCUAGGUCCUCCGAUUCAGAAUUCGAAAGCAUUGCCUCCAUUAGCAACACAGCAACGGGCUCAAAAUCGAAUAAAGAAAAAAGCCAAAAAAGGAAACCUGAUGCUUCAUGGAUCGAGUCGGAUGGGGAGUUCGAGGAAACGACGAAACAGAAAAAAGGGAAAAAGACCUCAAAACCAAAAUCAACCAGAACGCCCUCCACCGCCGUACCAAAGAAAAAGGCUUCGAAGA